UUGUCUUCUCACAUUUCUCCCUCAAAUUCAAAACCCUUCCCACCCUCUCCAUUCCCAUAUCCACCUUUCUCCAUUAACGACGGCGAGAUAACACCAUCAAAAUCAUCUUCGUCUCUGACCAGCUGCAAAAUCGGUGAAGAAGAAGAAGUGUCAACAUCAAAAAUGUUCAAAUGUUGCUCCAAUCUACCACCGCCGCGAAGCAACCACCACGCCCAACUGAAGAAGACGCCUCUUUUCAUCUAUACAUCUCAAGUAAGUGUCUGACGAUUAAUCUUUGGUCAUAGGACGAAAUUUUUUGACAGCCAUGAAUUCACUGAACUCUAACACCAAACGAAAUUGUAGACAAAAUUUUCGAAAAAUAAUGGAAGGAAUUAAAUGGGUAGCUAUUGUUUCUGUAAUUAAAAGUUGAAGAAGAAGCAGGAUUGAUUAGAGAAAUCAAAUAUAUUGUAGAACUGCAAUUUGAUGUAUUGAAAUAUUCAAAAUUGAAGAACGAAAGGGAUUGACAGAUUCAAAAUUGAAGAAAAAAAUUGACAGGUUUAUUGUUGUCCAGCUCAAAUAUAUUGUGGAAUUGCAAUUUAACUAGAGUGCUAAUGUUUAUAUUAUAGAAAACAAUUUAUUACAUGAAUUGAUAAUUUCAUUUAUGUGGUUGUUCGUCAUCUCAGCAUGAGAGGAAAAAAUGUUGGAAUAUGUCAAAGUUGUCGAACCAAGUGGCACGCAUUUGAGGAAUGCACGAGAAAACGUCGUUUCCCAUGGUGUCCACAUGGAUUUCAGAAAAUGUUUCGAGGUUGAAAAAUAGACACAUAACAAAGGGCAAUUAUUUAACACUUGCAAUAACAACUGUGGAUUUUUCGACUGUAGUAACGUUAAUGAAAUGAUGACUGUUGCGGGAAAUGAGAAAGUUGAAGAUUUGCCAAGCAUGCUCGGAACACUAGAACGAAUAACCGAAGAAUGAGACAUCGAGGUGUCAUUGCAAGUGACAUUCCACAAGGGGAAAGAAUGCUUGGAAUCGAGUAGGAAAGAAAAGGGACAAGCUUGAUUAUUAGUAUUUUUGUCAAUGGAUUGUUCGAGUUGAAUUUGUAAUUUGAAGACUUGUGUGGCUUUACUACGUAUUUUGUAUCAGACUAGAAUUUAU
rnacentral:lncRNA from 1 species